rnacentral:rRNA from 1 species
GCAGUAGGGAAUCUUCCGCAAUGGACGAAAGUCUGACGGAGCAACGCCGCGUGUAUGAAGAAGGUUUUCGGAUCGUAAAGUACUGUUGUUAGAGAAGAACAAGGAUAAGAGUAACUGCUUGUCCCUUGACGGUAUCUAACCAGAAAGCCACGGCUAACUACGUGCCAGCAGCCGCGGUAAUACGUAGGUGGCAAGCGUUGUCCGGAUUUAUUGGGCGUAAAGCGCGCGCAGGCGGUCUUUUAAGUCUGAUGUGAAAGCCCCCGGCUUAACCGGGGAGGGUCAUUGGAAACUGGAAGACUGGAGUGCAGAAGAGGAGAGUGGAAUUCCACGUGUAGCGGUGAAAUGCGUAGAUAUGUGGAGGAACACCAGUGGCGAAGGCGACUCUCUGGUCUGUAACUGACGCUGAGGCGCGAAAGCGUGGGGAGCAAACAGGAUUAGAUACCCUGGUAGUCCACGCCGUAAACGAUGAGU